CACGUAGGGUGCGAGCGUUGUCCGGAAUUAUUGGGCGUAAAGAGCUCGUAGGCGGUGUGUCGCGUCGGCCGUGAAAACCUGCAGCUUAACUGUGGGCUUGCGGUCGAUACGGGCAUCACUGGAGUUCGGCAGGGGAGACUGGAAUUCCUGGUGUAGCGGUGAAAUGCGCAGAUAUCAGGAGGAACACCGGUGGCGAAGGCGGAUCUCUGGGCCAUUACUGACGCUGAGACGCGAAAGCGUGGGGAGCAAACAGG
rnacentral:rRNA from 1 species